AAGUGGCGCACGGGUGAGUAAUACCUUAGUAACCUACCAUUUUGUGGGGGAUAACUCCUCGAAAGAGGGGCUAAUACCGCAUGUAAUCAUUGCGCUAAAGCAAUAUGAUUAAAGGUGGCCUCUAUUUGUAAGCUAUCGCAAGAUGAGGGGCUAAGGCCCCAUUGGCUAGUUGGCAGGGUAAUGGCCUACCAAGGCAAAGAUGGGUAGCUGGUCUGAGAGGACGGCCAGCCACACUGGCACUGAAACACGGGCCAGACUCCUACGGGAGGCAGCAGUGAGGAAUUUUGCGCAAUGGGCGAAAGCCUGACGCAGCGACGCCGCGUGGGGGAUGAAAGCCUUCGGGUUGAAAACUCCUUUCGAUCGCAAAGAAACGCCAUUUGGUUUACACCCAAGUGGUUUUGACGGUACCGAGAGAAAAAACCGCGGCGAACUCUGUGCCGGCGACCGCCCUGAGACAAAGGUGGCAGCGUUUUUCGGUUUACUGGGCGUAAAUAGAGCGUAAGUGGUUGUACAAGUCUGUUGUGAAAUCCCCAAAUUUAAGUUCAUAACUGUCC
rnacentral:rRNA from 1 species